CCUACGGGAGGCAGCAGUGGGGAAUUUUGGACAAUGGGCGAAAGCCUGAUCCAGCAAUGCCGCGUGCAGGAUGAAGGCCUUCGGGUUGUAAACUGCUUUUGUACGGAACGAAAAAGCUUCUCCUAAUACGAGAGGCCAUGACGGUACCGUAAGAAUAAGCACCGGCUAACUACGUGCCAGCAGCCGCGGGUAAU
rnacentral:rRNA from 1 species